UUAAAUUGAAGAGUUUGAUCAUGGCUCAGAUUGAACGCUGGCGGCAGGCCUAACACAUGCAAGUCGAACGGUAACAGGAAACAGCUUGCUGUUUCGCUGACGAGUGGCGGACGGGUGAGUAAUGUCUGGGAAACUGCCUGAUGGAGGGGGAUAACUACUGGAAACGGUAGCUAAUACCGCAUAACGUCGCAAGACCAA
rnacentral:rRNA from 1 species